rnacentral:misc_RNA from 1 species
GCGCAUUGGUGCGGCUAACCGUCAUGGAUCCAUCUUUUCAUGUCCCUCCUGUCGGGUUGUCCACCUCCCGGGGUAGGAUUCUUGUUGAUGGUUGCCUGUGUGGCUCUAUCAUCCUGAGGGAAUUUAACUACUUCUCUUGACGGGGAAGUGCUUUGGCUAGCGUGCUCGGAUGCUUUGCUGUUUGUUAAAUGGCAGCAGAAGUGGCAGAAGGCGGAUCCUUGUGUGGCUGUGGGAUWUCCCAUUGCCGCUUCAGGAUGUUGCUUGCUCCUUUGGAUGCUGUGUGCAAUGAGUGAUCUGCUGGCUGCUUGCCUGCAGUUCGUAGGAAGGAGGUCUUGCGUGCGCUCAUUUGCUCUGCUGCUAGCGGAGCGUGUCGUGGUGCAUGUGAGACUUCUCUCUUUUUCGCUUGAGCGGUUGCCGCUCCACGUCAUGCGUGCGACCUCUUGUACGGGGGGUUGCCGAAAUGAUGUGUCGGCUCUUGCUUAGGGCGUGCUACCUGG